rnacentral:lncRNA from 1 species
UCUGGGUCUUUAAGUUUAAUGUGAGUUUCCUCUUGUAAACAACACAAAGUUGGUUCUCUGAGGUUUUUGUUUUGUUUUGUUUUGUUAGUUCAUGUUUAAAGUCAACAUACAAAAGAAUAGGUUUGACUGUGACAAUUUUGUAUGUGUGUGUCAUUGUACUUGGUUCUAUUUGUACCUCUCCAUAUACCUCUCCCUCCUCUCCCUUCCUCCCCAUAAACAGUCUUCUUGUUUGGUUAGUAACUCAUGUAUUCCCAUUAAUGUCCUUUCCCCUCCUGUUCUUAAAAUCUCUUCUCCCCUUCUUGUCUUAUUCUUUCUACUCCCAUGUCCUACAUAGCUAACUCCAAGUCCUAUACCUUUCUG